rnacentral:rRNA from 1 species
UACGUAGGGUGCGAGCGUUGUCCGGAAUUAUUGGGCGUAAAGAGCUCGUAGGCGGCUAGUCGCGUCGGCUGUGAAAACCUGGGGCUCAACCCCGGGCCUGCAGACGAUACGGGCUAGCUAGAAUUCGGUAGGGGAGACUGGAAUUCCUGGUGUAGCGGUGAAAUGCGCAGAUAUCAGGAGGAACACCGGUGGCGAAGGCGGGUCUCUGGGCCGAUAUUGACGCUGAGGAGCGAAAGCGUGGGGAGCGAACAGG